GUUACAGUUAUACAUGGAGAUCUAAGUGCCUUUCAGGAGGAAAUACAAUCAGUUCACCAUGUUGUCCGCACUCUGGAGACAAAGCUUGGACGCCUUGCAUAUACUCAAGAUCACACAACACGAGGAAUACAUGAGUCAUGUGAGUUCAGU